GGCGUAGGGGGCCAGCGUUGUUCGGAAUUACUGGGUGUAAAGGGUUCGUAGGCGGUGUGGCAAGUCGGGAGUGAAAUCUCUGGGCUCAACCCAGAGGCUGCUUCCGAAACUGCUGUGCUUGAGUGUGGGAGAGGCGCGUGGAAUUGCAGGUGUAGCGGUGAAAUGCGUAGAUAUCUGCAGGAACACCCGUGGCGAAAGCGGCGCGCUGGACCACUACUGACGCUGAAGAACGAAAGCUAGGGGAGCAAACAGG
rnacentral:rRNA from 1 species